CGAACGCUGACAGCGUGGAUUAGGCAUGCAAGUCGAACGGGAUCCGCCCUGUAGCAAGUACUGGGGCGGUGAGAGUGGCGGAAGGGCGAGGAACGCAUGGACAACCUGCCCUGGAGCUGGGGAUAACGCUGGGAAACCGGCGCUAAUACCGAAUGAGGCGCCUGGAGGCAUCUCCGGGACGUCAAAGGCGGGGACCGCGAGGCCUGCCGCUCCGGGAUGGGUCCGUGUGCCAUCAGCUUGUGGCGGGUAACGGCCACCAAGGCUCACGGCUAGCUGGUCUGAGAGGACGACCAGCCGCACUGGGACUGAGACACUGCCCAGACUCCUACGGGAGGCUGCAGUCGAGGAUCAUUCGCAAUGGGCGGAAGCCUGACGAUGCGACGCUGUGUGGAGGACGAAGGCCUUCGGGUCGUAAACUCCUGUCAUGCGGGAAAAGGGCGCCCGGGGUGAACAGCCCCGGGCCUUGAUGGUACCGCAAGAGGAAGCCACGGCUAACUCUGUGCCAGCCGCUGC
rnacentral:rRNA from 1 species